UUCGCAAACAAGGGACCCGUAAAGUUGCACCGGGACCCGUAGAUUUGGAGCUUGCUCCUUUGACGUUAGCGGCGGACGGGUGAGUAACACGUGGGUAACCUACCUAUAAGACUGGAAUAACUCCGGGAAACCGGGGCUAAUGCAGGAUAACAUUUAGAACCGCAUGGUUCUAAAGUGAAAGAUGGUUUUGCUAUCACUUAUAGAUGGACCCGCGCCGUAUUAGCUAGUUGGUAAGGUAAUGGCUUACCAAGGCAACGAUACGUAGCCGACCUGAGAGGGUGAUCGGCCACACUGGAACUGAGACACGGUCCAGACUCCUACGGGAGGCAGCAGUAGGGAAUCUUCCGCAAUGGGCGAAAGCCUGACGGAGCAACGCCGCGUGAGUGAUGAAGGGUUUCGGCUCGUAAAACUCUGUUAUUAGGGAAGAACAAACGUGUAAGUAACUGUGCACGUCUUGACGGUACCUAAUCAGAAAGCCACGGCUAACUACGUGCCAGCAGCCGCGGUAAUACGUAGGUGGCAAGCGUUAUCCGGAAUUAUUGGGCGUAAAGCGCGCGUAGGCGGUUUCUUAAGUCUGAUGUGAAAGCCCACGGCUCAACCGUGGAGGGUCAUUGGAAACUGGGAGACUUGAGUGCAGAAGAGGGAAAGUGGAAUUCCAUGUGUA
rnacentral:rRNA from 1 species